rnacentral:tRNA from 1 species
UGCCGCUUCGUUUAGUUGGCGAGGACAACGGACUCUAACUCCGUCUUACUGGGUUCGAUUCCCAGAGCGGCAACCA